GAAGUGGGUCUAGGGAUUUCUUUCACUUCCUGCAUACUUAUAUAUAUUUUUAAUUUCAUUCCCGAAUCAAGCCUUACGUACAUAAGAAAAUAGCUCAGAAGGAAAGGCCUGGUUCUGAUCUUACUUACACAGGUGUAAAUCAGGAGCAACUCUUCCAAACUGUCUGCAAUGGGAAUGACUUCCAGGCUGGUGUAUCUUGAUUAGUGCAGUAGACAAAAGGCAGUUUCCAUUCAGUGAUCAGAGUAUUGUUCGAGUCUGCUUGAUUGAGACUUUAAGCUCUUUGAUGAAUGUGGGUGCUUGGAACAGCAGAAGAGGUUCCUGAGGUCUGCCUGAAGGAAAAUGAGUUAUUCCUCUACCUCUGAAGAAAUAAAAACAGAUCCUACCAGCCCUUUGCCAAAUGGACUUCUGUUUUUCUGAAGCACACAACAGCUGGAAUGAAGUUGGAAAGGAUAUUUGGAUUCCAAAGCCUGGAAUGCCUUGCUUCUGCUACUGUACAGUGGAAGCAGCUGCAUUUUGGAAUAUGGCCUUUCCUCAGGCAUGUACGUACACUCAGAUGUCUCAGAACAGCUAUUUUUGAGAGAGAGGUCUGCUCAAUAAGCUUCUGUGGAAACUUUGGAUGCAUUGGUGCUUAUAGGACCAGGAGAAGAACAGGGUCCAGACUCUCCAAGUUGUGCUAUCACCCACGAUGCUGUUGACCUCUUCUCUGCUCUACCCAGCCAUUCAGCUUUGGGGCAGUACUUCCGUUGCCUCUACUGUUUCCUCCAAUUAAAUGUUUUUCAAAGAGCCCUACCUCACCUUUUCCAACGUCUCAGCUAUUCUUGGAGUUACUCCAGGCUGUUAACAUCUUGUCCUGUGCUUUUUGCUGACUAGGGGAAUGCACUGCAUGUAACCAACAGUAGUCAUCUGCUAAAGCCCAGGAAUCCUGUGCUUGGCCUGAGGACUCAUC
rnacentral:lncRNA from 1 species